GGAUGUGAGGGUGAUCUGGCUACGACAUCUGUCACCCCAUUGUCACCCAGGGUUGAUUCGGCUGAUCUGGCUGGCUAGGCGGGUGUCCCCUUCCUCCCUCACCGCUCCAUGUGCGUCCCUCCCAAAGCUGCGCACUCGGUCGAAGAGGACGGCCUUCCCCGAAUAGAAGUGUGGGGUUGCAGGCACUUUGGUG
rnacentral:snRNA from 1 species